rnacentral:sRNA from 1 species
UGAAGGAGAGGCACUCCCAUUAGGGAGACU